ACCCAGCUGGAGAGUCUCAAAUGGGACGAAACGCGCGUCCUGGAU
rnacentral:hammerhead_ribozyme from 1 species